rnacentral:lncRNA from 1 species
AGAUGAGGGAACGUAGGAACACUGGGGACUCUCCCCCAACUUACCAGGCCCCAGAAGUUAUUUCCCAGGCAGCGUUUUGACCAAGAUUGACAGAAAAAACUCACUAAGGGAGCCCCAAGGAAAGAACUUCGGUGAGCAAGACUUGAGGAAGAGGGCGUUAGGCCGCUGUGGUCCAGGACACGUCAGUUACAUGUGAAUCCCUUCUGGCAAUUCAGCAAUAGCCAUUGUAACUUUCAGGUUUUUGAUGUGGUCUCCUUUUUGCAGACAAUAGAGUUAUAUCCUCUCUUACUUCUGAGGUCUGCUGCCUUGUGGCAGAAGUUGACCACACGGAAAUUUUCCACUUGGAAAUUCACACGUUGUUUCCUCUUGGUUUAUCGGUAGGCAGAAGUUACUACAUGGAGGGAGGGGGGAAACUGGUUUAACCUUGGCUGCUUGAUAGUGGAUCUGAAAGUCUAGUAUUGCAUGAGAAGUCCCUGCUAGAUAAAAUGUAAUAUUGGGGUCCCAUCUCCAGUGACUGUGGUUUAGUAGUUCCGGGUGGGCCUUGGCAGUAUACGUUUUUGAGCAAGCACCCCAAUAACUCUCAUAUGCAUGUUUCAAGACCUCGUGAUGUGGAGUACUGAUCUAGGUCCUCUUAGAACAGGAUGGAAGUUUGCUGAAGCGGGGACAAGAUUGGCCAUUGUGAAUGAUACUAACAUUGUGAUUAAGAGAACAAAUGUCUCUUUAGAUCUAAAGUCCUAAGCUUUUUGUCUUAGGCUGAAUUCCCCAGGAGGAGAGCCUAGACUGGUAUUUGGGUGUAUGUGAUGCAUUGGCGUGGUCUCAGGAAAAAGAUUAUAAAGGAAGUAGGAGAGCGCAAAGUAAGGCCCUAAGCAAGGGUGUGGGUUCAGCCGGAGGCUAGCUUUACUCGGAUCCCACAGGGAGCUCUGCGCGUGAGUUGUACCACAUGGCAUAUCCCACCCUGAGGAAAGAAGGCUAGCUUUUGGUACCUUUUGACAGCCAGUCACUGGCUGUGAGCUACCCUGGGAUGGGAGAUAGAAUCUUCUGGAUGAGCAGAGGGCAGAUCUCCAGGGAGAAGGCCUCUGUUGCCAUUAGCAACCAACCCUCAUGGCCACUGGGGAAUGGAUGCACCAGCCAGGUAAAAGGGACCGAGAAGAGUCACCAACAGCAUCCAUUGUGUUAUGACACCGUAGUGUCACAUGAGAGGCAUUUCACACUAUGGCUCCUGUUCUUGGUCACCCUGGCCACUCUUGCUGCUAUAAGCUUGCUACUCUUAAGUUUUUUGUUUGUUUGUUAUCAUUACAAGGGAAAACAUGGAUAGCAAAAAUAUUUGGCUUUUUGCUUUUUAGUAUUUCCCUUCUUGUGCUUUAGUAAAAAUUGUCAUCCUGCAGCAAAGUGUAGAUAAUAUGGCAGCAUCCUUUGUCAAUUUUGUCUCCUCACUUGAAGAAACAAUGACUUUGAAUACUGAAUUAUGGGUCCUUAGGCUGUAGUGAAAUCUUAAUGUGCUUUACUCAAAACUUCCUUUGCAGAUGAGUCCGUCUCACGCUUCUUGUAAUGAGAUUGCUCGUGGGGGAUGUUCGUUUGUUUAGGACUUUCUGUGAGAAAUAUGCUGUUCUGGAGACUAUUGAACUGGUUGUCAUUGGUUACUUGGCUUUAUUAAAUAAAACAGCCUCUUCUCAACUACCUUCUGUGGAACAUUAGUGUCUUUUGUACUGUAUUCUAUAGGAAAUAAGUCCUAUGGUCAAAUAAUUUUGGAGGGGAGGUGUUCUGUAUACUGUUUCCUUCUAGGAGAUUCACAGAGCACUUUGGCCUGUUAGAAGGUUCUCCAGACCCUGCAGGAAAGAAAACUGUUUACUCUUGCUUGGCUGAUCGAUUCUCAAACCUACCUGCUCAUGGAGAUGCUUGUCAUCACUGCCUCCCUCCUUUUUAUUUUUUCAGAAUACACAUUACCAGUUUACAGGACUAAUGUUCCAUAGUACACAGUUUGGAGAAUACCGAAAUGAAACUUUAUUCCUCAUCAUGUAUUACCAGGGCUUUCUGAGCAGCGAAGAACCAGUUCCACUCUUUUAUGUUGUAAAACCGGUCUCGACGCCUUAUCUACAUGCAAGGCAGGUGCAAAGCAGAUUUGGGGAUCAAAGUAGUCUCUGGAGAAAAAGGAUAGGUUAUUUGUUUGUCAUGCUGAAGGGGCUGUAAAAACAGUAACAUACUUAAUGAGGCUUCACUAUGGAUAUAUUAGUCUCCAUAAAACAUUUUAUUUAGCCUAACCUACAAUUACUUAAUGGCCAGUGAGUUUCAUAAACAGCUAGUCCCCAGCCUCAAACAUAUAUUAAGUGUCUGUUCUUUUGUGGAGUGAGUUUGCCAGGGAGAGUCAUGCAAGAUUAAAAAGAUAGAACAUUAAAAAUUCAGCCAAGACACACCAGGGCUGCCCUGAUGAUAACAACUACGGUGUGAUGUUUCUCAGUUCAUAUGGAUUCCCCAUACUGUUCUCAGUAGAAGAUAACCCUGCUAUUGCCCAAUACUCUUUCAUUAAAAAAUUAUUUGCACAGUCAUGGGUGUAUGGCAUUUCUUUUUUUGCUUAAGACAGACCCUCGGUGAGUUGAAUUUUUCUAAGGAGUUUUGAAUUGUAAGAGACAGAAAUGAAUGAAUAUUUAUUUAGAGGAAAAAUAUUGAGUCCUUACAUUUCCUACAGCACUUUGAAGUUUGCAGAGGGCUCCCUUCCCCCUUCCUCAACUAUCACUUUUGUACUUAAACAAAACCUCUGUGAGACAGUAGUAUUACCAGCACCACAAAAGUAGCAGAGGACUCUUGGAAAGCUGGCCAGAGCAGCCUUACAGAAUUCAGAAGCUUUAUUUACAUUCACCUGAACCGUUAUCCUAACUUCCUUCCUUCCUACUUAGUUAUGUUCAAUCAACUUAUCAUCUAGACUCAGCCACGAGCUUACUGUGUGUCCUGAUCCAUUGCUUAGCAAUCGUUCCCUCUUGGAUCAUGAGAGGUGGUAAGUUUCUAGGAUAUGUGUGUGAGUGCAUAUGUGUGCAAAUGUGUAGGAAUUGGUGAGGGAUGAAGGACUCAGAGAUCAUCUUUAGACAGAGUCCUGUGUUCCCCACCCAGGCGUGUGGAUUUUCUCUAGUAAGAAGGGUGAGGAGGCUAGGAUCUCGGAUGCCUUGGGCAACGUGGAAGAGGGCUUGGUACAGCAGAGGCUGUUACGGUGAAUAUGGGGGUCAGAGGAUGAAGGUCUGGGAAAUGGAUGGAGCCAAGGCAAUGGAGGGGAUUCCUGAGGUGGAACUGACCAGUCUUGGAGGUAAGGGAGAUACAGCAACUCAAGAUAUUGAUGAGGCGUCUAAUAGAGGUGGCCAAUAGUGCUGUUAUCAGAGAAGAGAACAAGAGGGAGACAACUGGGGUGGUAGCCUAGGGGGCGGCGGCGGGAGAGUUGAAACGAUAGAAGCCACUUUAGGAUGUGAUGAGCUUGAAGUGAAAUGUUUAGGUAGCUUGAAGUAGCCAUCCACAUUACAGAGAAAGAGAACAAAACCUGAGAUUUAGAGUUAAUGCUCGACAGUGUGUAAAGACCUGGACGCACAGACCAAAGCAUCUAGGAAGAGGGUGGCACCAGAUUGAAUCAGCCCACAUGACUCACACAUGUUAGAAAUGUCAUAUGUAUAUAUAUAUAUAUGUAUUUGGUCUUUUUUUUUGCCAUUUCUUGGGCCGCUCCUGCGGCAUAUGGAGGUUCCCAGGCUAGGAGUCGAAUCGGAGCUGUAGCCACUGGCCUACACCAGAGCCACAGCAACGCAGGAUCCGAGCCACGUCUGUGACCUACACCACAGCUCACGGCAAUACCAGAUCCUUAACCCACUGAGCAAGGCCAGGGAUCGAACCCGCAACCUCAUGGUUCCUAGUCAGAUUCGUUAACCACUGUGCCACAAUGGGAACUCUGGAAAUGUCAUAUGUUUUUACAACGUGUAAGGCAACUCCAUUUCAUACCGAGCACUCCUCCUUGUAGUCUGGGGGAAAACCUAAUUUCGUAUCUUUGAUUUUCCCUUCCUGAGGCAGUGCUGAGACAUCAGGAUGCAGAGUGGUGAUCUGGUCCUUGGUCACCUGUUGGGUAGGUUAUUUGCCAAGGCUUGCCAUCAUUCCUACUAGAUCCUUUUUCUCUGCCAUGGCUGUGCCAUGAGAUGCCACUUGUUGUUUUGUCUGAUGAGCUUCAGCUCCACCCAGCUCUUGGGCUUGGAGUUUUGCUGUCAACCUUUUGGGAGUGUGAGGGAAGCAUGGCUGCUCUGGGAUCCUUUGGUAUCGUUCGUCUUUCCUCUCUGAGUUUUAGCCCAGGGACCUCUCUUUCUAGGGCAGGGAAGGAAGAAAGGAUGAAGCGCCCUUCCUCUCGCUUCUCACAUACCCUCCCCUCUUCUCCCCCAAACCACCACUUCUCUUAAGGGCUUAAACAUGUUUGUGUGUGUGUGUGUGUGUUGGGGGAAAGGCAGACAGACUUGCUGGUUAUUUGCUUAUGGCCCUGAUGCAUGCCUCCUGGUAGCUGUGGAGGAUCACGAUGGCUACCACACUGAACUGGGAGGACGGAAACAAACAAAUACAGAUACAGAGAGAAACAAGAGUAAUAUCUGAAAAUACCAUCUAGCUACAGUGUUCAAGUAAGAGGAGAAACCAAGCAGGCUUUGGGCUACAGAGUAUAGAGACAAGAGAGAACAGGAAGAUGACAUCCAGGGAAGAAGCCAGAAAGCUCCCAGAGAAUGCAACAAAAAGCACCACUCUCAGGAUGUCGAGAUGCAAGACAUGGCCCCAGCUAUGAUGAUACCAGGACAUGCCAGAGGAGGGCAGGCGAGUCAUAGCCCGGGGCUUUAAAGUAAGCCUGUGGAGUUCCCAUUGUGGCUCAGAGGUAGCAAACAUGACUAGUAUCCAUGAGGACUCGGGUUUGAUCCCUGGCCUCGCUCAGCGGGUUAAGGGUCCAGUGUUGCUGGGAGAGCGUCAGUGUAGGUUGCAGAUGAGGCUUGGAUCCCAAAUUGCUGUGGCUGUGGCUGGCAGCUGCAGCUCCAAUUUGAUCCCUAGCCUGGGAAACUCCAUAUGCCAUAGGUGUAGCCC